AUCUGUGGGCGUGCAGCCAUGUUCCGGUCAACUCUGCUUCCUGUGUCUCUGUCACUCAAUCCAUUAAGUCUGGGGAAGAACGGGUGGCUUCCCAUGGGGGAACUCCUGAUCUAAGGGGACAAGAAGGGGUGAAAUCCGGGAUGGGGAAGGCAGUCCAAGAGAGUACUCUACUUGUGCAGAGUUGCCAGAAGGGCCAGUGUGUGGGGUUUGGUGUCCUCACCAGAGAGAGCCUUAGAGCUUCCAAGGGAUUAACGCACAUUCUGCCUUUGUCACCUAUCAGCAGCCUAUAAUGGU
rnacentral:lncRNA from 1 species